CUUACCUCGGAUGGAACCGGCUGUUUGGACAUUGCCUGUGCUAUUGACAAGUAUGGGUUGAGCUACAAGUAUGGGUUAAGCUGCAACUACUUCGACGAGAUGGCACAGAACUAUUGCGCUGCAAAGGGUGACGGCUAGGUGUUCAGUAUUAGGCGGGAUUGUAACGUUGCUCUGACAUGCAAUGACAUCUGUGCGUCAGCCAAGACCGACAUUCUGCGCACCAUCAACAAUCAACGAACUAAUGUUGCGUGUUUCGAUGCCUUUCGCAUCAUAAAAGACCACAGACGACUCCUGCCUAACCCAGCCGACUCGCAGCCGGACGCAGGAAAGGCUAGUUUCGCCACCUUUGGUUAUGGUUCCGGCGGAUGUACCUGGCGCCCUAAUCACUGUGGACCAAACUAUUGCUGCUGCAAAGCGUUUGAUUAGACCAAAAGAGCAAUAGACAAAGUUGUCGGAGACAAUAAUAUAAUCUUGAUAAAUGUUUUUUUAGUUCCAUAUCUUUAAUUUUUUAUCGUCGUUAUGUGUGGGAAGUCGAAGGCAUCCCCCUCCACAUCGUACAAAAGAACAUUAAAUGCAUGAACUAAAAUUAAGCAUAUCUAUCUUGAUUUAAAAACAAACCUGUUAUUUAAUGUAUGUAUUCAUCAACGGUUUAAAGAAAUAUAUUGUUAUUAACUCAUGCAACUCGUUUGUUGGAAGAUGGCCGCAAGUUUCCAACACCUUUUUGGAAGAUUGUUUCAAAAAGGUAACCAAACAAGAAUUUUUAAAAUGUAUGGCAGAUUUGAAAAAUAAACAUCUUAGAGUUUUAAAUUUAUUCGAAAGUCAAUUUCUAAACAAUGUUCAUACUUAAAUAUGUCCACUCAAAUAAUAAGGAGAAAAAUGACUUAAAGAACAAGAUGCAUGUCUGAAUAUUGUAAUUAAUUUUGUGUGUUAUUUUCAUGCACUAUUUUGGUAUAUAAACUGCAAGUCUAGUUAAAGUAGAUAUCGGAAAUUUUUAA